rnacentral:rRNA from 1 species
CCACCACUAAGCCAGUGGUGAACUCCACAUACGCAUCCUUUGCUGAGGAUACGGUUAACGGAGCGAAAGCGACGUUCAACCUCAAAAGAAGCAGAGGGGGCUUAGUGGUGGGGUGACUGCGUACCUUUUGUAUAAUGGGUCAGCGACUUAUAUUCUGUAGCAAGGUUAACCGAAUAGGGGAGCCGGAGGGAAACCGAGUCUUAACCGGGCGUUAAGUUGCAGGGUAUAGACCCGAAACCCGGUGAUCUAGCCAUGGGCAGGUUGAAGGUUGGGUAACACUAACUGGAGGACCGAACCGACUAAUGUUGAAAAAUUAGCGGAUGACCUGUGGCUGGGGGUGAAAGGCCAAUCAAACCGGGAGAUAGCUGGUUCUCCCCGAAAGCUAUUUAGGUAGCGCCUCGUGAAUUCAUCUCCGGGGGUAGAGCACUGUUUCGGCUAGGGGGUCAUCCCGACUUACCAACCCGAUGCAAACUGCGAAUACCGGAGAAUGUUAUCACGGGAGACACACGGCGGGUGCUAACGUCCGUCGUGAAGAGGGAAACAACCCAGACCGCCAGCUAAGGUCCCAAAGUCAUGGUUAAGUGGGAAACGAUGUGGGAAGGCCCAGACAGCCAGGAUGUUGGCUUAGAAGCAGCCAUCAUUUAAAGAAAGCGUAAUAGCUCACUGGUCGAGUCGGCCUGCGCGGAAGAUGUAACGGGGCUAAACCAUGCACCGAAGCUGCGGCAGCGACACUAUGUGUUGUUGGGUAGGGGAGCGUUCUGUAAGCCUGCGAAGGUGUCUCGUGAGGGAUGCUGGAGGUAUCAGAAGUGCGAAUGCUGACAUAAGUAACGAUAAUGCGGGUGAAAAACCCGCACGCCGGAAGACCAAGGGUUCCUGUCCAACGUUAAUCGGGGCAGGGUGAGUCGACCCCUAAGGCGAGGCCGAAAGGCGUAGUCGAUGGGAAACAGGUUAAUAUUCC